rnacentral:rRNA from 1 species
UGCCUAAUACAUGCAAGUCGAACGGUCUUUCUAUGGAAGCUUGCUCCACUGAGAAGAUAGUGGCGAACGGGUGAGUAACACGUGGGUAACCUGCCCAUAAGAGGGGGGAGUAACAUCCGGAAACGGGUGCUAAUACCGCAUAGUUUUCUUGAUCGCAUGAUCGGGAAAGGAAAGACGGCCUUUGUGCUGUCGCUUAUGGAUGGACCCGCGGCGUAUUAGUUAGUUGGUGAGGUAACGGCUCACCAAGACGAUGAUACGUAGCCGACCUGAGAGGGUGAUCGGCCACAUUGGGACUGAGACACGGCCCAAACUCCUACGGGAGGCAGCAGUAGGGAAUCUUCCGCAAUGGACGAAAGUCUGACGGAGCAACGCCGCGUGAGUGAAGAAAAGGUUUUCGGAUCGUAAAACUCUGUUGUCAGAGAAGAACAAGUUGGAGAGUAACUGCUCCAGCCUUGACGGUAUCUGACCAGAAAGCCACGGCUAACUACGUGCCAGCCGCAGC